AGAGUUUGAUCCUGGCUCAGAUUGAACGCUGGCGGCGUGCUUAACACAUGCAAGUCGAACGAGAAAGUCUUAGCUUGCUAGGGCGAGUAAAGUGGCGCACGGGUGAGUAACGCGUGAAUAAUCUACCUUCGAAUCUGUGAACAACACACCGAAAGGUGUGCUAAACCGGAUAAUAUCUUUUGCCCUUCGGUGUAGAAGAUCAAAGAUGGCCUCUACUUGUAAGCUAUUGUUUGAAGAUGAGUUCGCGUACCAUUAGCUAGUUGGUGGGGUAAAGGCCUACCAAGGCUACGAUGGUUAGCUGGUCUGAGAGGAUGACCAGUCACACUGGAACUGAGACACGGUCCAGACUCCUACGGGAGGCAGCAGUGAGGAAUUUUGCGCAAUGGGGGAAACCCUGACGCAGCAACGCCGCGUGAGUGAUGAAGGCUCUUGGGUCGUAAAGCUCUGUCAAUAGGGAAGAAAUCUUCUAUGGUUAAUAUCCAUAGUUGUUGACGGUACCUAUGAAGGAAGCACCGGCUAACUCCGUGCCAGCAGCCGCGGUAAUACGGGGGGUGCAAGCGUUAAUCGGAAUUAUUGGGCGUAAAGGGAGCGCAGGCCUUUUUGCAGGUUAGGCGUGAAAGCCCAGGGCUAAACCCUGGAAGUGCGUCUAAUACUGCUUUGCUAGAGUACGGGAGAGGGAAGUGGAAUUCCUGGUGUAGAGGUGAAAUUCGUAGAUAUCAGGAGGAACACCGGUGGCGAAGGCGGCUUCCUGGACCGAUACUGACGCUGAGGCGCGAAAGCGUGGGGAGCAAACAGGAUUAGAGACCCUGGUAGUCCACGCCGUAAACGUUGAAUACUAGGUGUAGCGGGUGUUGACUCCUGCUGUGCCGCAGCUAACGCAUUAAGUAUUCCGCCUGGGGACUACGGCCGCAAGGCUAAAACUCAAAGGAAUUGACGGGGGCCCGCACAAGCGGUGGAGCAUGUGGUUUAAUUCGACGCAACGCGAAGAACCUUACCUGGAUUUGACAUCCCGAGAAGUCUCUCGAAAGAAAGAUGUGCCCUUCGGGGAACUGGGUGACAGGUGCUGCAUGGGUGUCGUCAGCUCGUGUCGUGAGAUGUUGGGUUAAGUCCCGUAACGAGCGCAACCCUUGUCUUUAGUUGCCAUCAGUUCGGCUGGGCACUCUAAAGAUACCGCCUCGGUUAACGGGGAGGAAGGUGGGGAAGACGUCAAGUCCUCAUGGCCUUUAUGACAAGGGCUACACACGUACUACAAUAGCAUAGACAAAGGGCAGCCACAUGGCAACAGUAAGCAAAUCCCAAAAAGCAGUUCUCAGUUCGGAUUGGAGUCUGCAACUCGACUCCAUGAAGUUGGAAUCGCUAGUAAUCGUGGAUCAGCAUGCCACGGUGAAUACGUUCCCGGGCCUUGUACACACCGCCCGUCACACCACGAGAGUUGACUGUACCAGAAGUUGUUGGGCCAACCUUUUAGGGGGCAGGCACCUAAGGUAUGGUUGAUAAUUGGGGUGAAGUCGUAACAAGGUA
rnacentral:rRNA from 1 species